rnacentral:lncRNA from 1 species
GAAAACUUUAGCAUUAAAAAGGUUAUUAAGUAUACGGAAUUUAUAGUGUCCUCAAUAUAUAUGGCUUUAGCGCUGCUCUACUGCUCUUAAUACUAAUAUUACCAUUUUCAAAAAAAAAAAAAAGAUUAUUAAUUAUACUGAAUUUAUAGUUCUGGUAAAAUUAAAGAUCCUCUUCAGAUCAAAAUCCACAUUUGGAAAUGUCAAAGCUCCUUCUUUAGAUAUUUAUUAUCUCAAAUUAGUAGUUGGCCUCUCGACCUUGGAAAUAGGAAGGCAAGCCUAUUUGAUUGGAUGUCAUGAGAUAGUAGAUACAAUACUAGAUUUUUGGGCCACUUCUUGCCAGACAAAACCAGUAUGAUUAGGAUAACCCCAAUAAAAAAAAAAUAUGAUAACUGAAUUCUUCUCUUCUUUUCUUUUUUCUUUGACUCCUCAUCUUCAUACAAAAUUCUAAUGUGAUUAAGACUCACCAGGAUCAUAUUUGCGAGCCCAAAAAAGCAACCUCGCACACCACUGUUUGCUCAAAUUGGAGAGGGAGAUGAACAAAUAUGUUAGAAUGCUCAUAAAAGCUGGAAGAACAUGCAGGUAAGGAGGUUGGAAAAGAAUACAAAACAAAGGAUGAUAGAAGCGGUGUUAAUGCACAAUAAGUGCAUUAAGUCUUAGUUCAAAGUUCUACCUACAGAGGAGAACUCUGAUCAUGCAACUUGACUAUUUCAUCUUCUUUUUGUUAAAUGAUCAUGCAACUUGACAAUUUAAAACAAACUUUUCAAGAGAGUAAAUUUAAAAAUUAAUAAAUGGAAGAAAAUGAAAAAAAGAUUUAAUCUCGAUUCGUAACAUUAAUUUUAAUCCAUUCAAUUUGAAUUGGUAUUUUCUCCAUCAUAAGAAUAAUUAGUCUUGGGCAGUUUAUUUGUGAAAAUGUAUGUAUGUAUAACCAAAAACGGACUGCCCCUCAAAUCAGAUCAAUUAAGUUGAAUGGAGAGUGAUAUAAAAAGAUGUUAACCUGCAUAUUCCCGAAAUGAUGCACAGCACAAUCAAGAUUCGCACAUUCCUGUGGAACAGUGGGAUACUGCUACUUUGUGCCGAAAAGAUGGAUGCUGUCAGAAAAUGCGGGAUAGAAAUUUCUGAUAACUGAUGCAUAGCAAAGUAAUCACCAGUUAGCAACCUUGGUUUUUAUUAGUACUGUAUUUCCUUUCGCAUGUUAAAGGGAAUUUUACACAAUUUUACUUGUAAAUAGACUAGUUUGACUGAUUUUCUCAUCAUCCUUAGACUCAUUUUCAGGGCUUAUUUGGCCACUUUCAUUAAAAUUAAUUAAUUUAAUUAAAUCAUUAAUAAAGGGCGGGCUUAACUAGACCCAAGACCUCCCAAUUAUUGGAGAUUUAUUUUCGUUCUUUUCCAUUUGUUUCACUUUACUCUAUCGAUUUCUUCCACCUUUACUCUCUCGAUUUCUUUCUUUCUCCAUAUGUAGCAUCAUAUAUUGAAGUUCAAGUAGGCACAUGGAGAACGUACAGCAGUAACAAUCAGUGCAGUAAAAGCAGCAAAAACGAGCAAACCAUCUUUAGCUAUCAAUUUCCACAUUCUGUGAAGAGCAUGUACAACAGUCACAGGCUUCGCUGUUCCUCCAACAUCUACGUUUUCUGACGAAAACCUCCACCAAUUUCCACCCGGAAAUACAUUUCGAACAAAUCUGAUCCAUUCCACCAGCUUCUCCCUCAACCCUGCAUCACUCGAACUACCCUCGGGAUAUUCUUGUACGGAGGAGUAUGCAUUAAUUGAAGCCGAGCUCAGGUACCGAAAUCGCUGGCUAGAGAAAGAGAAUUGGAUUUUGGAUUUUGGGUACCUUUUGUAAAGAAUAAUGGUCUCUGGAUUUUGCCUUUUUUUUACAGAAUAUAAAAUUCUUACCCGAGGUUGAAAUUGCACACUCGACAGAAGCAAUGCCAUAGCAGCAGUAAUAUAUAAACAGCGCCGACGAAUUGAAUUUUUAGUUUUGAAGGGGGAGAAACCCUCAAGUUUUCAAUUAAGAAAAGAAGAUAAGUGGGUCCAAAUUUAAUUGGACAACUUGAAAUUCUUUUUAAUCCGAAGUCCCGCCAAAUUUUGUGGGAAGCUGCCAGCUGGUGUCUCGUGGAGACUAUAAAGAUUUUAAUUUUUUAUUUAUUAUUAUUAUUUAAAAAAAAUGGAGGUAGGAAAAGCAAAAUGGAGGAGGGUAUUUAUUGCAAGGGGAAUCAAACUUUUAUCGAGAAGAUGAAAGUUCAGAUAACUAAUCAAUUAAACUAUUAAAAUUCUCUAAUUUUUUAUUUAUUACUAGUUUAGGUGUACGCGCAUUGCACGUGUACCUUACUUUAAUUAGUUCAAACAUUAUAUUAAAUAGUAUAUUUGUUUAAAUAAUAAAGAUUAAUAUAAUAAUUAAAUUUAAUAUCUUUUGAGUAUGUAAAAAUGAAGAAUUUAUUUAUUAAACCUAAUCUUUACCAAAAAUAUUUUUUAAAAAUUGAUCAACAUUCAUCUACCAUCUAUAAAUUGCAACAAAACAAUAUAAUGAUAGAGAUAUCACAAUAAUACAAUUAAAUAUAAUCUUUACACACAAAAAAUUUCUCAAAGUCGUCCGACACUCAUCUACCACCUGUAAACAAUACAAAAUAAUAAGAUAAUAGAGAUAUCAAAAGAAUACAACUAAACCUAACCUUUACAUAAGAAAAAUUCGCCGACCAACAAUUAUCUUUAUCACAUGUAAACUACAAUAAAAUAAUAUGAUAAAAGUGAUAUCAAAACAAUACAAUUAAACAUAAAUUUUACACACAAAAAUUUCUCAUAAUCGAUCGAGAUUUAUUUACGAACUAUAAACUACCACAAAAUAACAAACUAAUAGAGAUAUUAUGAUAAUAUAAUUAAACCUAACAUUUACCUAAAAAAAAAUCAAAAUCAACUCGCAUUCAUAUAACAUCUGUAAAUUAAAAUAAAACAAUAAGAUAAUAAGAUAUCAAAGCAAUAAAAUUAAACAUAACCUUUACACAAGAAAUUCUUCAAAGUCAACCGACGUUAUGAGGUGCUAACUUAGAUUAAUUUGACUCUAAUACGGAUACUGAUAUGUAGAUCGGGAAACCAAAUAAAUAAUUUGUCAUAUAAUACACUUCCUGAAUCAAAAACAUAUAUAGCAAGCUAGGCAUGAAGUUAAUAUAUAAAUGACAUUAUCUUUCCUCGAACAUUUUGUUGGAUGAAGCAGAAGCUCUUUCAUGGCCCGAUAAUGUAAAAAUUGCAACAUAUAUCAAUGCAACGAAGAGAACUGCUAUCGUAAUUAAUAAUAGUCCAAAAAUCAAAAAGAAAUCAAAUGACUUAUCAAUAGGACUUAACAUAUAUAUAACCGAGGCUGACUAUUUUUACGGCUUGAACCUAUGACCCAACCGCUAGUCCUUAUGUGUGUGUUUGUUUCCAGUGUUUUUAUGGGUUUAAUUAUAGCCUAUAGUGUGUGUUAUUCUGUUAUUUAUACUAUGCAUGUGCAUGCGUACAGUUGACAUUUGUUAAAUAUAUAAGUAAUAAGGAUAGAAUUUCUAAAUACCAAAAGCACGCCUAAAAAAUCACACAGUUAGACAAUCAAAACAACGUUUAAAAGCAAUGAACAUCAACAAAUUUGCUAGAUUAUAAUCUUCUGUAGGAAUAAAGUCUAGAAUCAAAAAAUUCAAAGCCAUAAAUUAUAAAGAACUCUAGAAGAAUGUAAACUGAGAGAAAAUCACAGCGGGUUUAAAGGUUCAACUCAAGCGUGUUGAAAAUCUGGAUUUUUUGGGUUGGAGUUUAACGUGUUGCUAAUCGUUUUUUAUUUAAUAUAUAGUUUAGAAGUUGGGUAUUAGGUUUUGUAAAGGAUUAGGACUUUUGUUUUGUAGAAAUAUUUUUAUGCCUUUUUUUACACGUUUUCCAAAAUUAAUUAACAUUACUAAUGAAGAAUAUCUCAUUAAUAUUAUGCCUAAACUAAUUUUAUGCCUAAUGAAUUUUAUGUUUAAGAAUUCUGCCUCUAAAAUAUGGAAUAAAAGUUAAAUUACAUUAACCUAUCUUUAAAAGGAUUCUAUCUAAUUAAAAUAUGGAAGGAAAGUUCAAUCACAUUAACUCAAUAAAAUUAAAUAAUAAUUACGAAAAAAUAGUGAAAAAAAUGAUUUUGUCUAAAGCAGAAUCUUUUAACGAAGGGCCAAAAGUUCAAAUCAUUUUUCUAAGGGCCUUCACACUUUUAAUAUAUUAUAGAUAUAGAUUAUUACCAGAAAGAAGAGAUUUUACUUCCGAGGCUAUGGUCGACCCAAAACUAUAUUUGUUGGGUAAAUCUAAAAAAUAGACCCAAAUUGGGGUGACUUUCAAAUUUUAGCCCCAAAUAAAAAAGCUUCCUUAAAAUAGCCUUUACCUUUAACUAAUAUUUUUUUUGAAUAAAAUUACCCCUAAUCAAUGGAGUAAAUUACAUAAAUGUUCCUCAUAAUAGAUAACAACUCCAUAUUUAUAUGUUUCAACUUUUAUAUUUUUUCUCUUUUUAAUUUUACUUUAAUUUUUAUUUUUAAUUUUUUCUUUUUAUUUUUAAUUUUUUCAGCCUUUACUUUUUCCCUUUUUCCUCUCAACUUCUUUUUUUUUAAUAUUAUUUUUAUUUUUUAUUUUUCUUUCCUAUUUUUUUUUUUUCUCAACCCUUACCUUUUUUUUCUUUACACCUUUUAAUGUCUACUUUUAUUAAAGAUUUUUUUUUCUUUUUAAAGUUUUCUCGACCUUUAUUUUUAUUUAAUCCCUUUUUAUCAACAUUUAUUUUUUUCUAUUCUCUCUCAACUUCUACAUUUUCUUUGAUUUUUAAUUUUUUAAUAUUUUUCUUCAUUUUCUGCAAUUUUUAUUAUUUUUGUUCUUUUCUUCAAUUUCUUCCAUUCAAGUUACAUCUUAUGAGUAAGAGUUGACACUAUCACAUUAUAAAGACAAGACUUACGACUUUCAAUAAUACGUUACGUUUCAUGGGCAAAGGUUGACACUAUUACACUAUAGAGGUAAGACUCGUGACUUUUAAACAACAAGUUAUGUUUCAUGGGCAAGACUCGACACUACCACAUUGUAUUUUGAUUUAUGAGAUGUUUUAUAACUCUUACCUCAAAGGAAAAACUUAGCUCAUGGACUUUCAAACAAUAAAUUAUACCCUACGGGCAAGAGUUAACUUUAUCACGUUGUGUUUUCAUUUAUGAGAUAUUCUACAACUAUAGCCUUACAGGCAAGACUUAGCUCAAGGACUUUCAAACAACUAGUUAUGUUUCAUGGGCAACAGUUGACACUACCAUAUUGUAUUUUGAUUUAUGAGAUGCUUUACAACUAUUGUCUUAGAGGCAAGACUUAGCUCAAGGACUUUGAAACAACAAAUUAUGCUCCAUGAGGAAGAGUUGACUCUAACACGUUAUGUUUUUAUUUAUGAUAUGUUCUACAACUAUUACCUUAGAAGCAAUACUUAGCUCAAGGACUUUCAAACAAUAAACUAUGUCCCACGGGUAAGAGUUGACUCUAUACGUUAUAUUUUCAUUUGUGAGAUGUUCUAUAACUAUUGUCUUAGAGACAAAACUUAGCUCAAAGACUUUCAAACAACAAAUUAUGCCCCACGAGCAAGAGUUGACUCUACUGCAUUAUGUUUUUAUUUACGAGAUGUUCUAUAACUAUUGCCUUAGACGCAAGACUUGGCUCAAAGACUUUCAAACUACAAAUUAUACCCCACAGAUAUUUUUAUUUAUGAGAUGUUUUACAACUACUGCCUUAGAGGCAAGACUUAAUUAGCUCAAGGACUUUCAAACUACAAAUUAUGACCCCACGAACAAGAGUUGACUUUACCACAUUAUGUUUUUAUUUAUGAGAUAUUCUACGACUAUUGCCUUAGAGGCAAGAUAUAGCUCAAGGACUUUCAAACUACAAAUUACGUCCCACGAGCAAGAGUUGACACUAUCACGUUAUGUUUUUAUUUAUUAGAUGUUCUACAACUCUUGCCUUAAAGACAAGACUUAAUUAACUCAAGGACUUUCAAACUACAAAUUAUGCCCCACGGGCAAGAGUUGACUCUACAAUGUUAUGUUUUUAUUUUUGAGAUGUUCUACAGUUAUUGCUUUAGAGGAAAGACUUAGCUCAAGAACUUUCAAACUACAAAUUAUGCCCCACGGGCAAGAGCCAACACUACCACGUUAUGUCUUCAUUUAUGAAAUGUUCUACAACUCUUGCCUUAGAGGCAAGACUUAGCUCAAAGACUUUUAAACUACAAAUUAUGCCCCACGGGCAAGAGCCAACACUACCACGUUAUGUCUUCAUUUAUGAAAUGUUCUACAACUCUUGCCUUAGAGAUAAAACUUAGCUCAAGGACUUUCAAAUAAUAAAUUAUGCCCUACGGGCAAGAGUUGACACUACUAUAUUAUGUCUUUAUUUAUGAGAUAUUCUACAACUCUCGCCUUAGAGACACAACUUAUCUCAAAAAUUUUCAAAGAAAUUCGUAACAAUAAUUCAUGCCCUUAAAUUUGCUUUGAUGUAAAAAAGAAGACACCUUUGCGGAUUAUCCAAUUUUUUUAUUUAUUAGCAAAAUAUAAUAGAAGUUCAGAAAAAAAACGAUCAAACAAAAUAGAGAAAUAAAAAAAAUUAAGAAAAAAAAAAGAUAAAAAAAAUCAAGAAAAAAGCGAAGAAUUAAAAAAUUGAAAAAAAUAAAAAUGAGAGGAAAAAUAAAAAUAAAGUUUUAGAAAAAUGAGGAAAAAAAAGAGAACUGAAAAAAAAAGAAAAAAGUGAUCAAACAAAAUAGAGAAAUAAAAAAAAGAGUGAGAAAAAAAAAGGCAAGAAAAAUAAUGAUUAAGAAAAAAGCAAAGAAUUAGAAAAUUUGAGAAAAUAAAAAAUGAGAGGAAAAAAUAAAAAUAAAGUUUGAGAAAAAUGAGAGAAAAAAAGAGAACUGAUAAAAAUCAAAAAUAAAAAAAAAUAAAGGUUAAAAACAAAUGAAUUAAAAAAAAAAGAAAUAGAUAAUGCUUGAGAAAAAGGAAAAAAAUAAAGGUUGAGACAAAUGAAUUAAAACAUGAAAAUAAAAUUAAAGAAAAAAAAAGUGAAAAUAAUAAAAUAUAGUAUGAUAAAAUUAAAAUAAAAAAUAAAAAAGGUGAAAAUAAUACAAAAUAGAAUAAUAAAAUUAAAGGCAAAAAUAAAAAGUGAAAAUAAUAAAAGAUAAAAUUUGAGAGACAAAUAAAUAUAAAAAGUUAAAAAAAAUAUAUUUGAGGUGUAGAGGGGCAAAAUAGUACUUGUACUAAACUUAAAAAGUAAUGAAGGUUAUUCUUUAAAGACAUUUCUUAUUGGGGUCAAAUAUCUAAAGCCACUCAUAUUUGGGUGCACGACAUGAUGUAGGUCACUCAAAGAAUUGUUUGUUGCGCACAAACAAACUUUGGAGCCGUUGGGGAUAAGCUCUUGUACUUGGUAAUAAAUUAGGUCCCAUUUGGUCAACAAAAUAAUACUCCCUUCGUUUUUUAAAAAAAGAUCUAAUUUAAUUUAUCAUGAAGUUUAAGAAAAUAAAAUAGUUUUUUAAAUUUUAUAGUGUUAAAUUAAAGAUAUGUCAAAUAUAUCAAAAUGUCCUUCAAUUUUGUGGUGUUAAACAUGUCAUGUGAAAAGUUAAAAUUAAAAAAUGGCUAAAAAGGAAAGAGAUCAUUCUUUUUUAAACGAAUUAAAAAGAAAAGUAAAUCAUUUUUUUAAACGAUGGGAGGAAUUUUUUAGAGUUGAAGUUGAAGUUGUAGUUGGAUAUGUGUUUGGAUAUUAAUUUAAAUUUUACUUAUUUUUUAAAUUUUAUGAGAGAAGUAGGAGUAAAAACAAGUUUUACUUGUUUUUACUUUUCCAAAUACAAUUUCAAAUUGUAUUUGAAAUUCUCAUGGUCAAAUGCAUACUGUUUUCACUAAAGUGAGAUAAUUUUUUGAAAUAGAAUUAAUAAUUUUCAUGGUCAAAUGGCUAUUUAUAUUUGGAAUUUGUAUUUUUAAAAGAUUCAGCUAUUUUUUCUAGUUUGUUUUUAAAAGGGAAUAACUAUUUUUUUGUUAAUAUUUAAUUUUAACGUUUUACGUAAAAUAUUUAAUAUCAUAAAAUUAAAGAACAUUUUCAUACAACUGACAUCACAUCACAUUAAUUUAAUAUCAAAAGAUUCAAAUUUUUAUUUUUAUUUUUUUAAACUCCAUAUCAAAUCAAACAACAAAAUACUAUGUCUCAUUGAUGAUAUAAAUUUUCGGAAAAUUACAUAAAUGUGCAUCCGAAAAAGUUAUAUUAUAAAAUAUAGUCCACUUUUUUAAUUUUAACCAAAAAUGACUCAAUUGGUAUGGACCUAAAAAGUAAAGUUUCAAUCAGUAACUCAAUUAAUCCAAUUAGCAUUUAAUACACUUUUUUGCUUAUUUUUUUCAUUUUUGUAACUUUUUUUUUCUUCCUCGCACUUUUUUUUAACUAGUUUAAGUGUACGCGUUUUGCGCGUAUUUCACUUUAAUAAGUUCAAAUAUUACAUUAAAUAGGAUAUUUAUUUAAAUGAUAAAUAUAAAUAUAAUAAUUAAAUUUAAUAUUUUUUUAGUAUGUAAAGAUGAAGAUUUUAUCUAAACCCAAACCUUACCAAUUUUUUUUUUUAAAGUCGAUCGACAUUCAUCUAUCAUCUGUAAAUUGCAACAAAAUAAUACAAUGAUUGAGACAUCAAAAUAAUACAAUUUAAUUUAAUGUUUACACACAAAAAUUUUCUUAAAGUCGCCCGCCACUCAUCUACCGCCUGUAAACAAUAAAAAAAUAAUACAAUAAUAGAGAUAUCAAAAUAAUACAAAGAAAUAUAACCUUUACAUAAAAAAAAAUUUCAAAGCCGAACAAUCAAGCACAUGCAAUCGAAUCAAGUUAGAUGAGCAUCAAUCAAAUUCUUCCAAUAGACAAAUCAAUUUGUUUUCUAGUUUAACAUAUAUCUCAAUAUUUAUAGAAGUAUUUCCUUAAUAGAGUCCUAUUUUAGGAGUAUUUUUCUAAUUGAAUAGUACAAAGAAAAAUAUUAAUUAAUUCUCCUAUCAUAUAUUUUAAAAGUCCCAUAUAUUUUAGAAAGUCUAGUAGAAAGAAAAAUAUUAAUUAGUUCUGCUACUAUAUAUUUUAAGAGUCCCAUAUAUUUUAAAAAGUCUAGUUAAUAUAAUAAAAAAUAAUUAAAUAAUAAAUUACAAAAAAAUAAAAAAUAAUUUUGUCUGAAGAAAAAUCUUUUAAUAAAGGCUAAAAGUUCAAAUCACAUUUCUAGGAAUUUUCACACUUUUAAUAUAUUAUAAAUAUAGAUUUUAGAUUGCAAUCAACCAACAAGUCACAUUUUAUUGAAGAAAACAAAAAUAAAUAAGAGCACAAGCAAUGGAAUGACAAUAAAUUCAAAAAGAAAAAUACUUAAAAUAAAUAGCUCGAAAGAUGGGCUUAAGUCCGAAACAAAAAAAAAUCAUAAAAAAUAAAAGGACCUUUCAGAAGCUCUGUUGGAAUUAGGAAGGUAAACAUCUCUUCACUUCUCAAUCUUCCAUAGAAGCACUGAUAAUUUUUCUUUAGAUUGUUUCAGCGCCCUUCAUUUUUUGCUUUCGUUUUACGUUUUCGUUCUUCUUUCAGAUACAUGUAUCCUUUACUUUGAUAUUUUUUUUCCUCUUUCUUGUAGCUUUAGCCUCAAAACACAGAUAGUGUGCUCUUUUUUUAAUUCCCCCCACCCCCCCACCCCCUCCCUCCAUCAGAUCCAAGACAACCAGCUCGACAAUAGCUUUCAAUUUUCAAUUGCAGCUAGAUCUAUUCCAGAUCUGGUGAUCCUUGCCUCUGACACGAGCUGAGGGGGAGAUUUUAUGAAAAUUUUUAUUGAGGAAUGAGUUGCGUCGCUGCAUUUGAGGUUUAUAUACUUAGUAGAUAAUAUUAUACAUUUUUUUUAUAAUUUUGUAUAUUAUUGCAUAAUGAUGUAUAAUGUUAUAUACAUUUGUAUAGUAAUAUACAUAAUUAUACAAAUAUAUACAUACGUAUGUAUCAUGUUUAAACAUGUAUCUACAUUGUAUAAGUGUGUAUAAAAUGGAUAGGAAAAAGAAAGUCACCAAAAAAAUGACUCUUAUUGUAUAUACAGCAAUAUAUAAAUUUGUACAUUGUUAUUAUACAAAAUAGAGGGUUUCGUCUUAUUCCUCGAACUCAAUACAACAACAAUAUACUCAGUGUAUUCCCACCUAAUGGGGUUUGGGGAGGGUAGAGUGUAUGCGGACCAUACCACUACUUCAAGAGAAGUAAAGAGGUUGUUUCCGAUAGACCUCCGACUUAGGACCAAUAACAGUAUAACCAAUACAAAAAGUAAGUGCAUAUAAACUAGUAUGGUACACAAAACAAACUAAGAGUAUAACAAACACAAAAGAUAAGUGUAUAAUAAACUAGUACAGGAUGUAAAAAAGCCAACACCACUAGCCCUAAAAACUACAGCCACAACACUACGAACUAGAAACUCAGUGUCAGAUGAGUCAUUGAUUUAGUAUCUCAGUGUCAGUACUGAGUUCAGUCUGCAAUAAAGUGGUAUCUUGGUUUCAGUAUCUAGCGUUGCAAUAAUUGUGUUCAUGUUCUGUGCAUUCAUGUAUAUGUUCUCGUGCAACAUUUUCAUGACUAUUCAGUUUACAUAUUGUGCAUGCAUGAGCCUUUGCAUUUAGCCUUACCUUAUUUAUAUACUCGAUAAAAUUUUAUACUGACACAUUUGCGCUAUGGUUUUUUAUUUGACACCAUAGUUUCAGAGGCAUAGGAUUCAAAGCUUCCUUAGCAGUUCAGUCCCAGUUAGCAGCAGUAGUAGUGAGUCCUAUUCCUUCGAGGACGAAUCUCAGUUUACUAUUAAUGCAUCAGAUUUGGUUUAUAUUCUCAGUGGACAGAGUUAGUUGGGGACAUGUCCCAUCAACUCCAUAGUUCAGAUAGUUUAGAGGCUUUUUAGACAGAUGUUGAUGUAAUAGUAUUCAGUUUUCAGUUUGAGUAUGUAUAGAUCUGUUGAACCCUAUGGCUAGUUUCCACAUUUAUUUCAGAUAUUAUGCAGUGUACAGGUACAGAUAUCAGUAAAGGAUUAGCUUGUGGUCCUUCGGGUCCAUAAGCACCAUGUGAUGUCACGAGAUGGGAUCUCGGGGCAUUACAUCAUUAUAGUAUGAAUAUAAUAUUAUUAGUUUAUGAUGGGAUUUUGGUCUUGGAGGUAUAUUUAGUAUGGAUUGUAUCUUGUAUCCGAUUAAGAAAUCAUAAUUAAGCAUACUUGGCAUGAUUGCUUGUUCUUAAGGGAGAUUUUCUAUAUUAGGACUAAAUUAUGGCUUAUUUAAUAUCUAGUAGUGCAAUUAGAUACCUUCUCCUAGUUUGGGGGAAAUUUACCUUAGAAUGAAUUUCAGAAAUAGGAGUGGGACCCUCCGACCCACUUAAGGCCAAGAUUGGCAUUAACUUCGUGUAGGACCUAUAUGCCUUGCGCAUUAUUUAAUAUACAUUUUUUAGUCUAAUGAGAUUUAUUUUCAUGAUUCUUUCUUCUAGUUUGGUACCUGGGAGAUGGUAUGAGUUCUGGUUCAAGUCCGGCAAAUGAUGAUAUGAGUAUUGGUUCAAGUUCAGUAAAUAAUGAUGUGAGUUUUGGUUUAAGUCGGGUUCAUUCAACUCAUUCUACAUAAUUUCACAUUCAAAACCAAUUUGCAUUAUGUAAUCAUACAUAGCACUUACCAAGUACAUCUCAUUUAUUCCUAAUAACAAAAAAUUUAGAAAAAUUACUCCUAAAAAUUCAAAAGGGAUAACGGGUUCAAAAGGCUCCCCCUAGAAAAAGAACCAAAAAGAACAACCAAGGGGUGGGUGAAAUGUGAUACAACUAGACAGAUACCAACAAACAUUGAAAAUUGACAAUAAUCAAAUUUAAAUUCUUUUUGCAAUUUUUUUUUAAAUUUUGUCAAAACUGGAAAAUGUCUAAAAAUUGAAAUCCCAUAACUUUACCAUGAACAAUCAGAAGAUUUCCUACCCUACACUUAAAAUCACACUUCAUCCCCAAAUUAUAAAUUAAAAGUAAGGAUAGAAAUACUCCCUGAGGCCUCUAAGACUAGCUA